UAGAUUACAAAUGGAAAUGAAGCACAAGC
rnacentral:piRNA from 2 species